rnacentral:lncRNA from 10 species
CAAUCAUAGCUCACUGCAGCCUCAACCUCCUGGGCUCAAGCGAUCUUCCUGUCUCAGCCUCCUGAGUAGUUGGGACUACAGGUGUGCACUACCAUGCCUGGCUAAUUUAAAAAUAUAUAUAUAUAUUUGUAGAGACAGGGUCUCUGAGUCUUUCUAUGUUCCCCAGGCUAGUCUUGAACUCCUGGGCUCAAGCAAUCCUCCUAUCUCAGCCUCCCAAAGUGCUGGAGUUACAGGCAUGAGCCAUUGUGCCCAGCCUCAACUUUUCAAAGAUCAGCAGUCAGAGAGCUCCGCUGUGAAGUCCAGCUUCUUUCAGGCUGGCUAUCUUUGUGUGUCUGUGUUCAUUUCCGCAGCCAGUUCACAUUCAGUCUCUGUUGUUGGCUGGCUGUGUGGGCCUUUGGCAAAUUUCUGAAGCCUCCCAGGCCUCAGUCUCUGCAUCUCUAAAGUGGGGCUAUUAUGAUCAGCCCCUUCAUCACAGAGAUGUAGUGGGAAGUAAAUAAAUGAAUCUACAGCACUUAAGAAAAUGCCUGACUCAGAAAGGCCUCUGUAAACGUCAUCUAUCAGCAGCAGCAUCAUGUUUUGGCUGGGGCAGGCAGUGGGGGCGACAGAACGAGCUCUGGGGCCCUACCAGAAGAUUAGGGGAUGAACGCAGCUUGCAAGGCCAAAGCUGUCCCCAUUUGGUUUUGCCAGCUCUUGCUCAUCCAUGAAAUAAACCGGAUGAAGCCUUCAUCCAGCCCUUGUUUUGAGAAGGAGGCAAGCAGAGAGCGUGGAUUUAAUGUGGCAGAUGGUGCUGUCCUUGAAUUAUGAAACCAAAGGAGGAAAUUAAAGUGCUCCAUUGCAACAGAUAUGGGCCAGCCGGGGCAGAAGGCAGGAGGUGGGGCAGAAAGGAGGGCAGGAAGGAGGUGCUGUAUCAACUGGGCAAUGGCUAUUUUCAAGGGUAGCUGGAGUCCUAAGAUAAUAGAAUUCCGUAGCCCCAUAUAAUUUUAGAAUCUUCAUCUUACAUAGGCAAAUGAGGCUCAGAGAGGGAAAGUGACUGUGAAGGUCACACAGCCAGUUAGUGGCAGAGCAACUCACACGUCCUGAUUCCUUGAACAGUAUUAUUUUCUGCUGCCCCAAGCCAAGGCCAGUGGCAGACCCUGUCUCAGGGCUUCCUGAUUUUGGGCAGCUCUGCUUUUCAGAGGACUUCUCUGGACAGGCACCCAGUGUCCAAAGAGAACCCAGGGUCAGGCAGCACAAUCCCAGGGGCUUCUCUGCAGCUGCUCUCCUCCCAGCACACAGGGAGAUACCAGCCACCGUCCCGGAGCCAUUCGGCCUGGGUCUGAAGCCCAGCAACCCGAGAAACAUCUACGAAGCAUAUUGCUGGGUGCUUGGAAUGCGGAGAUAAAUAAAACACACUUGCUGCCUUCUAGGAGCUCCCUGUCUAGUGGAAGAGACAGAAAAGCAAA